rnacentral:rRNA from 1 species
ACUCAAUAGAUACCCAGGUAGUCCACGCCCUAAACGAUGUCUACUAGUUGUUGGUGGAGUAAAAUCCAUGAGUAAACGCAGCUAACGCGUGAAGUAGACCGCCUGGGGAGUACGGUCGCAAGAUUAAAACUCAAAUGAAUUGACGGGGGCCCGCACAAGCGGUGGAUUAUGUGGAUUAAUUCGAUGCAACGCGAAAACCUUACCUGGCCUUGACAUGUAACGAACUUUCCAGAGAUGGAUUGGUGCUCGAAAGAGAACGUUAACACAGGUGCUGCAUGGCUGUCGUCAGCUCGUGUCGUGAGAUGUUGGGUUAAGUCCCGCAACGAGCGCAACCCUUGCCAUUAAUUGCCAUCAUUUAGUUGGGCACUUUAAUGGGACUGCCGGCGACAAACCGGAGGAAGUGGGGAUGACGUCAAGUCCUCAUGGCCCUUAUGGCCAGGGCUUUCACACGGUAAUACAAUGGUCGGUACAGAGAGUUGCCAACCCGCAGGGGGAGCCAAUCUCAGAAAGCCGAUCGUAGUCCGGAUUGUAGUCUGC